rfam:Triticum urartu cultivar G1812 contig772500, whole genome shotgun sequence.
UAGCUACUCCCUCGGUUCUGAAUUACUUGUCUUGGAUUUGUCUAGAUACAUAUGUAUCUAGACUCAUUUUAGUGCUAGAUACCUCCGUAUCUAGACAAAUCUAAGACAAGUAAUUCGGAACGGAGGGAGUAGUAA